rnacentral:rRNA from 1 species
UGCCAGACUCCUACGGGAGGCAGCAGUGGGGGAUAUUGCACAAUGGGGGAAACCCUGAUGCAGCGACGCCGCGUGAGGGAAGACGGUUUUCGGAUUGUAAACCUCUGUCUUUGGGGACGAAUUGAGACGGUACCCAAGGAGGAAGCUCCGGCUAACUACGUGCCAGCAGCCGCGGUAAUACGUAGGGGGCAAGCGUUAUCCGGAUUCACUGGGUGUAAAGGGAGCGUAGACGGCGACGCAAGUCUGGAGUGAAAGCCCGGGGCCCAACCCCGGGACUGCUCUGGAAACUGCGUCGCUGGAGUACGGGAGGGGCAGGCGGAAUUCCUGGUGUAGCGGUGAAAUGCGUAGAUAUCAGGAGGAACACCGGCGGCGAAGGCGGCCUGCUGGACCGUGACUGACGUUGAGGCUCGAGAGCGUGGGGAGCAAACAGGAUUAGAUACCCCCGUAU